GUAGGUGGCAAGCGCUGUCCGGAAUUAUUGGGCGUAAAGCGCGCGCAGGCGGUCCUUUAAGUCUGAUGUGAAAGCCCACGGCUCAACCGUGGAGGGUCAUUGGAAACUGGGGGACUUGAGUACAGAAGAGGAAAGCGGAAUUCCAAGUGUAGCGGUGAAAUGCGUAGAGAUUUGGAGGAACACCAGUGGCGAAGGCGGCUUUCUGGUCUGUAACUGACGCUGAGGCGCGAAAGCGUGGGGAGCAAACAGGGAUUAGAUACCCUGGUAGUCCACGCCGUAAACGAUGAGUGCUAAGUGUUAGGGGGUUUCCCGCCCCUUAGUGCUGCAGCUAACGCAUUAAGCACUCCGCCUGGGGAUACGGCCGCAAGGCUG
rnacentral:rRNA from 1 species